AACGAACGCUGGCGGCGUGGAUAAGACAUGCAAGUCGAACGGAAUUACUUUUGUAGCAAUACAGAAGUAAUUCAGUGGCGAACGGGUGCGUAACACGUGGGCAAUCUGCCGAGAAGUGGGGGAUAGCUCGCCGAAAGGCGAAUUAAUACCGCAUGUGGUGAGGGAAGACAUCUUCCUGAAUCCAAAGCCGGGGUAACCUGGCGCUUUUUGAGGAGCCCGCGGCCUAUCAGCUUGNGGUGAGGUAACGGCUCACCAAGGCUUUGACGGGUAGCUGGUCUGAGAGGACGACCAGUCACACUGGAACUGAGACACGGUCCAGACACCUACGGGUGGCAGCAGUCGAGAAUUUUUCUCAAUGGGGGAAACCCUGAAGGAGCGACGCCGCGUGGAGGAUGAAGGCUUUCGGGUUGUAAACUCCUGUCAUUUGAGAACAAGGUGCACCGG
rnacentral:rRNA from 1 species